GAUGGUAAGAUCCCACGAUAACUAUAUAUGAAAAUAUAUAAUUUUUUAUUUAUAAUUGUUCAAAAAUAAUAAUAUUAUAUCAGAUAGGUUAAAAAUUUUUAUGAUGCUUAUAUAAUUUUAAGCCCAUCAAAAUGCCGCUAUUUUUAGUGGCGCCUGUUAAAGGUUAGCGAAAUUGGUAAUAGUGUAGUUGGGACCAUCAAUGG
rnacentral:lncRNA from 1 species